AGUCGAGCGAAGCUUUUCAGUAGUUUACUACAGAAAAUGACUGAGCGGCGAACGGGUGAGUAACGCGUGAGCAAUCUACCUUAGUUACAGGGAUAGCCCGAGGAAACUCGGAUUAAUACCUGAUAUUCUUUAUAUUUCGCAUGAAAUUAAAAGGAAAGGUCAGCCGAACUAAGAUGAGCUCGCGUUCUAUCAGCUAGUUGGUGAGGUAAAAGCUUACCAAGGCUACGACGGAUAGCUGGUCUGAGAGGACGAUCAGCCACACUGGGACUGAGACACGGCCCAGACUCCUACGGGAGGCUGCAGCAGGGAAUAUUGCGCAAUGAGCGAAAGCUUGACGCAGCGACACCGCGUGUGGGAUGACGGAUCUAGGUUUGUAAACCACUUUCAGGAGGGAAGAAAAUGACGGUACCUCCACAAGA
rnacentral:rRNA from 1 species